GGGAUGCUGCUCAAAUUUCGCAAUUUUAUUUUUAGAUUUCAAAAUUCCAAAUACCUGGUAUUGCUUUUAAAUCUGCUGCCUUUCCAAUCCCAGCUGUGCUCUUGUAACAGUGCAUAAAGGCCAGCCCAGCAGAUGUUUAAGGAAACCACGUGACUAAUCAUGCCUAUACAUAUACUGUAAAUUCUUCAAGAAGAGUUAUAAGUCCCACAGUUCCUCUGGGGUAUUAGGAAAGUAUUUUAAUGUACAAAGAAAGCUGAUUAUAAUAUACUGUUUUUUAAUCAGUGAACAUAAAUUGCCAAAGGGUAAAACAAGAAAUUGAAGACAAAACUUCUGAAAUGAAAAUCCAACAUGCUGCUCAGUAUAGCACAUGACUCCUAAGUGAAAAUAGCCGAUAUUGUUGCAGUUCCAAUUUCUUUCAUUAUCUUCUGUACACCGCUUUUUUUUCUGCUGUGCAGUCAGUGACAUAGAAAAAGGGCUAACAGGCUAAAGAAACAGAGGUAAUAUUAUUAGUACGCAGUAGACUUUUAUUUUAAAGCCCACUUUCAGGCAGAAGUUAGCAUGCAGAAGUUCAUUUAGGGUUAGGGUUAGUUCAUUUGCAAAACCAGUUUAAGGGU